rnacentral:tRNA from 1 species
GGUCCUAUGGCUUAGAUGGCAAAUUGCCUGCCUAGUAAGCAGGAGAUCACGAGUUCGAGUCUUGUUGGGACCU